rnacentral:piRNA from 1 species
UGACUUGUGAAAAAGGUGACAAUUUCCAUGG